GCGUUAUUCGGAAUUACUGGGCGUAAAGCGCACGUAGGCGGCUUUGUAAGUAAGAGGUGAAAGCCCAGAGCUCAACUCUGGAAUUGCCUUUUAGACUGCAUCGCUUGAAUCAUGGAGAGGUCAGUGGAAUUCCGAGUGUAGAGGUGAAAUUCGUAGAUAUUCGGAAGAACACCAGUGGCGAAGGCGGCUGACUGGACAUGUAUUGACGCUGAGGUGCGAAAGCGUG
rnacentral:rRNA from 1 species